AAGUCGUAACAAGGUCUCCGUAGGUGAACCUGCGGAGGGAUCAUUACAGAGUUCAUGCCCGCAAGGGUAGAUCUCCACCCUAUGUUAUUGUUGCCAUUGUUGCUUUGGCGGACCGUCGCAAGACUAUCGGCCUCGGCUGGUACGCGUCCGCCAGAGGAUCUCAAACCCUGAAUAUUAGUGUCGUCUGAGUACUAUAUAAUAGUUAAAA
rnacentral:misc_RNA from 1 species